ACAACUUAUCAAUAAAUGUAUUCACAGAGAAUUAUAUCACUGAAAUGUUGCUUCAAUUAACUCUUUAUUUAAAUAGAUAGUGUGACUGCGCAAAUUUUAAGAGAGACUUGUAGACAAGAAAAUAUUAUUCCUGGGUUUCAGUCACGUGACUUUUUUGUUGUCGUCGCCAUCUUUAGGACCGAAGCGCCCUGAGGGGAAUGGGUAGUCAGACGAAAAUCGCUCAUCUCGCUGCUAACAAAAUGCAACGUUAUGUCAGUAAAGUAGGCAUUUUAGGUUUCGAUCCGUACGAACUUCCAACGGGAUUACUGACGCCGCUGAAGUCUGCUGAUGACUUGCUAACAUCGUUUUUGGUGACAUUUUCAUAUAGUUUCAAUCCCUCUCCAUCCACCAAUAAGUCCCUCAAGCCAUUCAAGAGCACUGAAGCUUACCUACACUUCAUCAGGAUGGGUGAAUGAUCCUCGAAUUUAUCAUCUGAAGAUGAAGAAACUUUUUUUAAUUACAGGAAAGGUAUGUUCCAAAGAUGAUGGAACUGGACUUGCCAAAUCCACUUUCCACACUGUACUCAACCAGCCGCCCAGAGACAGACUAUGCCUUGCUACUACAUGAUAGUGUCAAGGUCUUUGAUGUAACAAAGCAAAAGAUGGGGCCCAGACAACGAGAACAGAGCAAAGGAAAGCUAUGUUGCUGUAAUGAAAGCCCACCAUGAAGACUUCAAAGUGAAGGCUUCAGGAUUUUUCAUCAACCCAGAACUCCCCUGAAUAGGAGCAUCACUUGACGGAAUGGUUACCUGCGCUUGCCAUGGAGAUGGUGUUUUUAGAGAUAAAAUGCCACCUCAAAACCAGGUGCUCUCUUGUUGAAGUUGUUGUUGUUGCAGGGAUUCAUCAUUCUGUCUUGGCAUAGGAGAGGAUGGGGUUGUGGCACUGAGACACAACCCUAAGUAUAUGUAUGAAGUGAAGGCCCAAAUGCACAUUGCAAAGGUGAGUUACUGUCACUUGAUGAUUUGGACACCACAGGAACUUUUUACUCAACGUAUUCCUUACGAUUGAGACUUUUUCUAUACUGCGUAUGACAAAGUGGUGAAUUUCAUCAAGAUGAAAGAGCUACCUGAGCUGCUGGGAAAAUGGUAUACAGCACCAGGCUUUACUCCCAUGGACAGUACAGCCACCUGAAGUGGGAUGCUACUGUGGUCAACCUGCAGACACAGAUGCACUUUCACAAGACUUGCCUUAAGGCUAUUGUAUCACCCCUGAAUCAGAGGGCAUGCUUUUUUAUCUGUUCAUCCACUACCAAAGGUUGAAUGUAUAAAUUUAGUAUCAAUCCACAAUGAAUUGCAAAUGUAUUACAACAAGAUGAACAUGCACAAUAAAUACAUUUCUGAAUUAUUAUGUAAUUUAA